AAUUAAUAACUUAUUUAAAUUUUUUGUUUAUUUAAUUUUAAUAAAAAUAAUUUUAAUAAUUUUGAGUUUAAGUAUUUUUUUAAGAAAAAAUUUAUUUUAUUAUAGUUGAUUUGUAUUGUAAAAGAUUGUUGAAAAAUAUUUAUUUUAUUUAAAAGUAAAAUUAAUUUUUUGUACCUUGUGUCUCAGGGUUUAUUUAAUAUAUAUUGUAGAUUUAUAAUAUUCUCGAAUUUAAGAGAGUUAAUAAAUUAUUUUUUUUAUUGUGAAAAAAAUAUUUAUAAUAAUUUAUUAGUAAUGAAAUGUUAUUCGUUCUUUAAUAUAUCUAGUUUAUUUAGAAAUGAAUUUAAUUCAGAUAUUUAAAUUUUAAUAAUUUAAUUGUUUAAUAUAUUAAAUUUAAAUAUUAAUAAUUAAAGGGUUUAGCUUUUAAUUAAAAUUUUAGAAAUUUUUGGUAAUUGUGAAUAAAAUGUAAGUUUAGAAAUAGCUAUCAAUAGUAAUUUGUUAUAAUUAAUUUAGUGAUAUAUAUUAUUUAUCAAUAAUUUUAAAUUUUUUAUAAAUAAGUAAUUUUUAAUUUUAUAAAUUUGGUUAUAAUGAUAAAAUUAGUAUAUUGGAUUUAUUUAAAUAAUAUUUAAAUAAAAGAUUAAUUAAAGGAAUUCGGCAAAAAUUUUAUUCGCCUGUUUAACAAAAACAUGUCCUUUUGAAGUAAUUUAUUUAAGGUCUAGCCUGCCCACUGAAUUUAUUUUAAAUGGCCGCAGUAAUUUGACUGUGCAAAGGUAGCAUAAUCAUUAGUUUUUUAAUUGAAAGCUUGUAUGAAAGGUUGGACGAAAUAAAAUCUGUCUUUGAUUAAUUUAAAGUAGAAUUUAAUUUUUAAGUAAAAAAGCUUAAAUAAUUUUAAAAGACGAGAAGACCCUAUAGAGCUUUAUAUUUAUUUAAAUAAAAUAAAUUAAGAAUUAUUGAAAUUUUAUUUAAAUAAUUAUUUUAUUGGGGUAAUAGGAAGAUUUAAUGAAUUCUUUUUUUUUAUUUUCAUUAAUAUAUGGUUUAAAAAUUAAUGAUCCAAUUUUAUUGAUUAUAAGAUUAAGUUACCUUAGGGAUAACAGCGUAAUUUUUUUGGAGAGUUCUUAUCGAUAAAAAAGUUUGCGACCUCGAUGUUGGAUUAAAGAUUAUUUUAGAUGUAGCAGUUUAAAAUUUUGGUCUGUUCGACCAUUAAAUCUUUACAUGAUCUGAGUUCAGACCGGUGUAAGCCAGGUCGGUUUCUAUCUUUAAAUUGAGGUAAAUAUUUUAGUACGAAAGGACCAGAUAUUUGAUAUAUUAAUAUUUAUUUUUUGAAUAUUAUUAAAAUUG
rnacentral:rRNA from 1 species